rnacentral:rRNA from 1 species
UACGUAGGCAGCAAGCGUUGUUCGGAGUUACUGGGCGUAAAGGGUGCGUAGGCGGCUUUUUAAGUUUGGUGUGAAAUCUCCCGGCUUAACUGGGAGGGUGCGCUACAAACUGCCGGGCUAGAGUGUGGGAUGGGAGAGUGGAAUUCCUGGUGUAGCGGUGAAAUGCGUAGAUAUCAGGAGGAACACCGGUGGUGUAGACGGCUCUCUGGACCAUAACUGACGCUGAGACACGAAAGCGUGGGGAGCAAACAGG